rnacentral:tRNA from 1 species
GCUCGGGUGGCGGAACUGGCAGACGCGUACGGUUGAGGUCCGUAUGGAGCAAUCCUUGGGGGUUCAAGUCCCCCCUCGAGUACCA